AUCAUCUGCUAAUUGCUGAAUGCCCGUUUUACUAUAUUUUUACAAGUAGGGCAUAUUAUUUAAAUGACUUCUGUCACAUCUAUCUUGUGUAGUAGAUUUAUAUUGAAACAUACCUAACAAUAUAAUCUUUUUUAGGAAUUGUUAAAUUACCUAACAAUGUUCGUGAUGUUAUUUACUAACAAUUUUAUUAAUGCUCACAUCGCUUCAUUAAUCGUAUUUUUUUGCACAGUACAUUUUGGCCUCGUUCAAGUGCUGUGACUUUCGUCUGUAUUAGAGUAUGCGGUAGGGCGGCAAUGC